rnacentral:rRNA from 1 species
GACGAACGCUGGCGGUGUGCUUAACACAUGCAAGUCGAACGGUAAGGCCCUUUCGGGGGUCCACGAGUGGCGAACGGGUGAGUAACAUGUGAGUAACCUGCCCUCAUCUCUGGGAUAACAGUCGGAAACGGUUGCUAAUACUGGAUAUGAGCUUGCAAGGCAUCUUGUGGGUUGGAAAGAUUUUUUUGGUUGGGGAUGGACUCGCGGCCUAUCAGCUUGUUGGUGAGGUAGUGGCUCACCAAGGCUUCGACGGGUAGCCGGCCUGAGAGGGCGACCGGCCACAUUGGGACUGAGAUACGGCCCAAACUCCUACGGGAGGCAGCAGUGGGGAAUAUUGCACAAUGGACGGAAGUCUGAUGCAGCAACGCCGCGUGCGGGAUGACGGCCUUCGGGUUGUAAACCGCUUUCAAUUGUGACGAAGCUUUUUGUGACGGUAGCAGUAGAAGAAGCACCGGCUAACUACGUG